rnacentral:rRNA from 1 species
CACGUAGGGCGCAAGCGUUGUCCGGAAUCAUUGGGCGUAAAGCGCGCGUAGGCGGCCCUGUAAGUCCGUUGUGAAAGUCAAAGGCUCAACCUUUGAAAGCCGAUGGAUACUGCAGGGCUAGAGUCCGGAAGAGGCGAGUGGAAUUCCUGGUGUAGCGGUGGAAUGCGCAGAUAUCAGGAGGAACACCAAUAGCGAAGGCAGCUCGCUGGGACGGUACUGACGCUAAGGCGCGAAAGCGUGGGGAGCGAACAGG